CAGCCGAAGCCGGAGGAGGAAGGCAGAACAUGAAGGAGCGGGAGGCCUUCGAUGCCAGGAACAUAUUAAAGAGCUUUGGGUCGUACCAUUUUGGCGAGUUUGAUCUGAGUGCCGUCCAGAUUUCCCAGAGGUAUUCUACCGACUGCACCGGUUUCUACACCUCCGCUGGCCUUCUGAACUUCUCCUGACCGCCUCUCCCUGAACGUUCACUCAGGUCAGAGGUGAACGAUGAAGCUUCAAGGUGGACUGGACCUGCAGAGAUGAAUGACCGGGUUACAGGGUGGACAUGUCAGAAAGCUCUAGGAUGUCCCUGUCACCGUGCACUUGGCUGCAGACCAAUCAAAUGCCAGUGGAAUUGUGUCAGAGAAUGCUGGCGUUGAUUUCCAUGGGACAUCGUGCUCCAUCUCCCCCAGUCACGUGCUUCCUGAUUAAACACUUGUCUUGUCAAAGUGUUUACGUUUCAACUGGAGUGAAAACAACCUGAUUAUAUUAAUGACACAUUGGGGUAAUGACACAUUGGGUUAAUGACACAUUGGGUUAAUGACACAUUGGGUUAAUGACACAUUGGGCUAAUGACACAUUGGGGUAAUGUUACAUUGGGGUAAUGACACACUGGGGUAAUGACACACUGGGGUAAUGUUACAUUGGGGUAAUGUUACAUUGGGGUAAUGUUACAUUGGGGUAAUGCCACAUUGGGGUAAUGAAACAUUGGGGUAAUGUUACAUUGGUUUAAUGACACAUUGGGGUAAUGUUACAUUGGGGUAAUGACACAUUGGGUUAAUGAUUACAUUGGGGUAAUGAUUACAUUGGGGUAAUGACACAUUGGGGUAAUGACACAUUGGGUUAAUGACACAUUGGGUUAAUGACACAUUGGGGUAAUGACACAUUGGUUUAAUGACACAUUGGGUUAAUGACACAUUGGGUUAAUGACACAUUGGGUUAAUGACACAUUGGGUUAAUGGCACAUUGGGUUAAUGGCACAUUGCGUUAAUGGCACAUUGGGUUAAUGGCAAAUUGGGUUAAUGACACAUUGGGGUAAUGUUACAUCGGUUUAAUGACACAUUGGGUUAAUGGCACGUUGGGUUAAUGACACGUUGGGUUAAUGACACAUUGGGUUAAUGACACAUUGGGUUAAUGACACAUUGGGUUAAUGACACAUUGGGUUAAUGGCAUAUUGGGUUAAUGGCACAUUGGGUUAAUGACACGUUGGGUUAAUGACACAUUGGGUUAAUGACACAUUGGGUUAAUGACACAUUGGGUUAAUGACACAUUGGGUUAAUGACACAUUGGGUUAAUGACACAUUGGGGUAAUGACACAUUGGGUUAAUGACACAUUGGGUUAAUGACACAUUGGGGUAAUGACACAUUGGGGUAAUGACACAUUGGGGUAAUGACACAUUGGGGUAAUGACACAUUGGGUUAAUGACACAUUGGGUUAAUGACACAUUGGGUUAAUGACACAUUGGGGUAAUGACACAUUGGGGUAAUGACACAUUGGGGUAAUGACACAUUGGGGUAACAUUUGGUCUUGAUAUUUUUUCCCUCUAUGACAUAAGGUUCCACUAUUGUGAUAUGGGAUGAAUCUAUAAAAAACAAAACAUUUUAAUAAUAAACAGACAAAUUA